rnacentral:rRNA from 1 species
AUGAACCAGAAUCAUGGCAAGAGAACUGCUGAAGCUGGUGGAAAGGAUGAUCCUCAGUGCAAGCGACUACAUGUCACUGAAGGUCCCAACUCUGAUGAUGAUGACUUUGUGUUUUCUGAUUUUGUGAGGGAUGUUCAUAGUGGUAGACGCAAAGACUAUGGUUCAUCUAAGAGUCUACCCAAGCAUGCCCGUGACAAUGUCGAUGAAGAUGUUUGUGGUGACUCUGGCGAGGAGGUGGAUGUUGUUCCAAAGAGGAAGAAGUCUAGUAAGAGCAAUGCAGCUGAAGAUGAUGCUAAGGUAGAUGAUUCUCAAUUUAACAAGACCACACGUUUGUCACUUCCCACUGUUUGCAAGGCUGCUGCCUUGUUGAAAGAGGCACACUGUAGUCGUGUUCGGGAUGCUGGAUUUGGUGUUGUCUUUGAACUGACAGUAAAGAAAAAUGUGUCGCGCAUUCUUAUGUGCUAUCUGAUGGGAGUGAUUGACCCUGCCACCAUGAUAAUGGACUUUGGGAAUGGCAGGGUUCUUCGAAUCAAUCGUGAUGCAGUUCAUCACAUUUUUGAUUUACCCAUGGGACGUCACACUGCACCCAUGCCUGCUGCCAGCGGCCAUGAUGACUCGUUGAGUGCCCUCAAGGAUGAGGUUGGCUUUGACCGUUCAAAAAGUAUAGGUGUCAAGGACUUGCUUGAGAAGUUGAAGAAUUUGCUGUGCCCCCGGCCUGCAGUUCGUUUGGGUAGAGUUGCUGCAAUGGUAGAGAACAUGGAUUAUGCGGCUAUGGCUCAGAUGGACUUUUGCCAGCUUGUUGUUGAUGAGUUGCAGGCAGCUGUGGUAAGGUGGCAAACAGAAGGCUGCAAGCAGAAUUGUGCAGAGGGUUGUGCCAUUGUCCCCCUGAUUAUGUAUCUUGACUGCUUGAAACUUUGCAAAUUUUCAGUCAUGCACACGUUGACGCCACAUGCAUCAUACCUGACGACCAAGGACCUGAUGAAGUUAUACAAUGAGGAUGUGCUUGUGAAGGGAAAGAUUUACUUGGAAACUUACAAAUUUGGGAAGCUGACGUGGAAGGCAUCAGGUGAUAUUGUCUACAACCAUCCUGUUGCAGUGGACUGCGGCAGCUCUGAUGCGGGACCUAGCACUCAUGCUAGGUUUUAUGAGCCUAUAUGUAGCCAGCUUCCUGCCUGUGAUGAUGAGGCUGGAGUGGAAUCUUCUGGUGUCCAUGGAACUAGGGACGAUGGAAUUGGUCAGAGUGGUGAUGCUGCUUGUGAUGUGCACAAAGAGACAUACGAUGGCUCUGGGAAGGAUGAGGUCUUGGCUGAUGCAUCGUCCCCUCCGGAUGUUGUAGCUGAUAAGUCUGGAGAAGAAAACGUGGAAGUUCACGUUGAUCUGAAUCAGGGCAGUUGUGCUGUUGAUGGUGGUGGCAGUGUUGGUGCUUCUGCAUCGGUAGCUGUCGACUGUGCAGACGCUUCUAUAGCUCAAGAAUACCAUGAUGCUCUUUCCCCCAGUCGGCAUGAAGACUCUGAUUUUGUCAUUGAAAAGCCGCUGGAGAAUGUCGUCCCUGCUGCUAGUGUUGUUGCUUCCCCUGUUUGUCUGGCGGCCAACAAUGUUCCUGAAGUAUCGAGAAUUGAGCCUCAUGUAGCUGAAGUAUCUAAGGACGUUGCAGUUGACCAGACUGUUGUAAAUCCAGAGAAUGCUAAUGUUGCUGCAGAAGAGAAGUCCAGUGAGGUUGUUGUGGAUUCGUCGCAAUCUGUCCAAGGAAAUGUUUUGGUGAGCUCUGAAGAACAACAACAUGAAGACUCUGACACUGAAGAUGACGAACUUCCUGUUGUGACACCGUCGAGCAUUGAUCCAGCUCUUCUGAAAAGAUACAAUGAGUUGUACGCUGCUGUUACGAGGGUUCGGAAGGACAAGAAGAAGAAGGACAUGAUUGCUUUUAAAACUGAGUUGGGUGAUAUUACCAUUGGCGAAGUUGGUCAAUCCUUUUGGGAUAAAGGGAUGCUCACUACAAGACUUGUAGAUCUUGGGGUUUCUUUGCUGGUAGAUAAGUUUAAGGGAUCUCCGACAUAUUUGUGCAGAAGUGUUAAAAUGGUGUUCUCUUCAAAAGCCGAGGAGCGUGUUGAUAAAAAGGAUAUGACUUGGGAUGGUGUUCGAGUUGCUCAGUUUGGGGUGGAGCACAUUGGCUACAUCAGAAAGGCCAUGCUCUAUAGUUGGCUCACAUCGAGAAAGUGUUCCCUUGAUUUGACAUCACUUCUAAUUUUUGCAGAUCAAGGUUUUGAUGGGGGGCUUCAUGAAGGCUGUACGUCACUGUUUGAGUCCCAGGGUUCUGAUGUGGUUAUGGAGGAUUGCGCCAUUGAAAUCUCUCCAGAUAAUUCUUGUUCUUUGGCUGGAGAUGGUUUGAACACAGCUGUGGCGUCUGGACCUGAUGGUGGAAGUGUUUCCCGCCCUAGCUCCCCACGUGAUGUGUUUGGUGUUGAUGAUGAUGAUUUUGUUAUGCCGUGUCCUUGCGUCACGAGGACUCGGAGUGCAGCAAUUAAUCAUCCUCUUGUGGAUGAUGUUGAAGUUUUUUCGAACAAGAGGGCAGGUGAGAGGGCUUUUAAGUUGAGAUGCUCUAUGGAGAAAUUGAAGCCUCUGAGGUUCAAAUAUAUUGAUGAGGCGAGAAAAAUAAAGGAUCUUGUUCUCAGCAAAGAAUUUGUAACCAAAUACCACGAUCCUUUUGGUGAUCUUGAUACUUACAAUGUUGACUAUAUCUAUAAUACAUUUGGCAAAGGAGCUUUAAUGGAUUCGUAUCUCAUGGAUUUUGUCAUCAAGUACUGGAAGCAAGACGCUGAAAUGGGUUUAGUUUAUCAUUCUAGUGAACGUGUGCUACUUUCACCCUUAUUUAUCACGUAUGUUCUUCAGAUGGAAACAUUUGUGACGAAAGAUGAGGAAGGAAACCCUGUGUUGCCAGUUGUGCAUAGCACGUUUGUUUUAGAAGAUGCAGUUAACCAGUUCAAGGUUUUUGUGAGUGACGACGUAAACCUGUUGGAUGCAAAACUGAUUAUGAUGCCACGCUUCAAGGAUGGUCAUUAUUCCUUAUACACGAUGAACCAGCAUCGCCAGACGUUUGAUAUCCAUGACACUAGGAAGUACACUGGCCAUCCUGAUGUCAUGACAAAGUGGCGCAGGAGUGAUUACCAUUCAGAUUGCACAGAAGUGCCUGCUAUUGAAGAUUGGAAGGCGGAGUACAUGUUCCAGCUGCUGUUCAAUUCCUGGAACAUGUUGUGUUAUGAACACAUGCCGCUUGAGCUACGAGAACUGAUUGCGGACCUCGGGCUUACUUCCCUGUCGCAAUCGCAGAUGCAGUAA